rnacentral:rRNA from 1 species
CAGUCGCCGCGGGAAAACGUAGGUGGCAAGCGUUGUCCGGAAUUAUUGGGCGUAAAGGGCUCGCAGGCGGUUUCUUAAGUCUGAUGUGAAAGCCCCCGGCUCAACCGGGGAGGGUCAUUGGAAACUGGGAAACUUGAGUGCAGAAGAGGAGAGUGGAAUUCCACGUGUAGCGGUGAAAUGCGUAGAGAUGUGGAGGAACACCAGUGGCGAAGGCGACUCUCUGGUCUGUAACUGACGCUGAGGAGCGAAAGCGUGGGGAGCGAACAGGAUUAGAUACCCCCGUAGUCCCUGUCUCUUAUAC